GAUGAACGCUGGCGGCGUGCUUAACACAUGCAAGUAGAACGGAGAAUUGAAGCUUGCUUUAAUUCUUAGUGGCGGACGGGUGAGUAACGCGUGGGUAACCUGCCCUUAAGUGGGGGACAACAGUUGGAAACGACUGCUAAUACCGCAUAAAGUUGAGAGUUAGCAUGAGCUUUUAACCAAAGGAGUAAUCCGCUUUUGGAUGGACACGCGUCUGAUUAGCUAGUUGGUGGGGUAACGGCCUACCAAGGCUACGCUCAGUAGCCGGCCUGAGAGGGUUAACGGCCACACUGGGACUGAGACACGGCCAAGACUCCUACGGGAGGCAGCAGUGGGGAAUCUUCCGCAAUGGACGAAAGUCUGACGGAGCAACGCCGCGUGAGGGAUGAAGGCCUUCGGGUUGUAAACCUCUGUCUUCAGGGAAGAAAAAAAUGACGGUACCUGAGGAGGAAGCCCCGGCUAACUACGUGCCAGCCGCCGCCGUAA
rnacentral:rRNA from 1 species